rnacentral:misc_RNA from 1 species
GAUGAAGAACGUAGCGAAAUGCGAUAAGUAGUGUGAAUUGCAGAAUUUAGUGAAUCAUCGAAUCUUUGAACGCACAUUGCGCCCGCCAGUAUUCUGGCGGGCAUGCCUGUCUGAGCGUCAUUUCAACCCUCAUGCCCCUAGGGCGUGGUGUUGGGGAUCGGCCAAAGCCCGCGAGGGACGGCCGGCCCCUAAAUCUAGUGGCGGACCCGUCGUGGCCUCCUCUGCGAAGUAGUGAUAUUCCGCAUCGGAGAGCGACGAGCCCCUGCCGUUAAACCCCCAACUUUCCAAGGUUGACCUCAGAUCAGGUAGGAAUACCCGCUGAACUUAAGCAUAUCAAUAAGCGGAGGA